rnacentral:rRNA from 1 species
UACGGGGGGGGGCAAGCGUUGUCCGGAAUCAUUGGGCGUAAAGCGCGUGUAGGCGGCCAGAAAAGUCCGCUGUGAAAACUCGAGGCUCAACUUCGAGCUGUCGGUGGAAACUUUCUGGCUAGAGUCCGGAAGAGGAGAAUGGAAUUCCCAGUGUAGCGGUGAAAUGCGUAGAUAUUGGGAGGAACACCAGUGGCGAAGGCGGCUCACUGGACCGGUUCUGACGCUGAGGCGCGAAAGCGUGGGGAGCAAACGGG